rnacentral:lncRNA from 1 species
AAAAGUAAUUACUAGAAGGUAUUUCCUCAUAAAAUAGAAUAAGAAAUAAAUAAUGAAGCUUUGGAAUGAACCUCUAAUGGACCAAACAUUGGAAAUAUUUUCGUAAAAUGAAUAAACUUAAUACAUGAACCCUACAUUCAUGUUGAAAUAUAUUUUUGGUGUGCAAAUUAGAACUUUGUUUGAAUUUAAAAUCUAAUUGGAACCUGAAAAGCAAACAAAAAAGAAAAUAAAAAAAAGAAAAGAAAUAAACCUUAUCUUGGGCCGAUUUCACCUGCCUCGGCCCACCUAAGACCGCGCCCUACUGAUGCGUGGGGGAUGACGGGUGGGCUUCACCGCCAGGAAUCACUCCGCGCGCGCCUGGGCUUUCUGUCUCCCUGACAUGUGGGAGCCGUUCGUUAGGGCGGUCGUCUUCGUUGUCUUGCGCUCGCGAACAGAACUCCUCCGCCAAUGCCGCCGGAACUCUUGGCUGCGCCCCCCCAUCUCAACUGAAUGUCGCGAGAUCUUUGCCGGUGGGAGCGGACUCGGAUCUCUCUCGUGGAUUUAUAUGGGGAGGCUCUCAACCCACCCGCAUCGUGGACUGCCACUAACCAAAGCCCAGAAACGCCGGUAUGCGGGGUUGACGUGGGCACUGCUACCACGCACUCGAGCGACGCCACUAAUCGAGCCCAAGCGUAGAAUUUAGCCCUGGGCACUUGCCAUCUCGCGCUAGAGCCACCAAGAGAGUUCGCUGGGGAGAAAAGGGGUGAUCCACGCCGCCGCGGGUGGAAUCCGCGCGGCCGCCAUGGAUUCAACCUGGCUGCGCGGUCGUUCGGAUCGCGUAUGGUGGUUGGAGCGCGUAAUUGAAGAACGCUGGAGCAUGUGGUGCACUCGACGGGCACGAUUGGUGGGCUCGGGGUGAUCAAUUUCUCACCGGAGCCACGAAGACCGAGGCGGACCACGCAUUGCCGUGGGCAGAUUUCGUUCGAGCCUCAAAUCCCGGUAUGAAGCGCUUGUGCUGUUCAUUAGGGCGUCCGCAUCGUGUAGCUAUUUUUGCGAGUGAUUUGGGGGCUUGGGUGCCGUUCGGCCAUGCUCGCCGGUGAUGCUUCGUUGGGCGGGUGUGGCGGCGCCGCCGUCCUGGCCAGUCAUGUGGGGGAGAUGUUGGUGCACCGUCCGAUCGUGCACGUGUGGCUGAGAUUAGUUGGUGGAUACCGCUUCGCCCGAUCGGGCGGUCAGCGGGCAUCGCGCGACUCAUUAAAAGUGGACCGUUGGAUCAGGAUCCGACCACUGGCAUUGGGUACCGCUUUGGGUAUUAUGAUAAUCUAAUCCGGGCCGCCGUGGUUUGAUCGGACGGUCCUUAUUGAACCAUACCCCUUCGCCGUAGUGUUUUUGCAAAAGCGCCCUUGCACUUUUAUAAAACUAACCCGCCGUCCUGUGCGAGGGAAAACUAGGUCUUGGGAGAACUUGUGGAUUAGCCCCUGAGCUCUCUAGAUAUUAUGCGCGCAGUCGAGUGACUUAAGAAAAUAGGAAAAACAAUACAGAAAAUACUUUUCUAGCACACAAAUAAUUCUAAAACUUGUGUAAUUCCUAGAAAAUCCAUUUUAGCUCUGAAUUGACCCAUUACAGUUGCAAUAAUUUUGUAUUAAUAUUGUCUAUCAACUAGUAACACUGUUUAGCCAUGAAACUUGAAUUAAAAUUGUUCAUUUGGAUUAAUCUAUUCUAGGUGCUAGAUAGUUUCCGAAAUUCAUAACUCAAUAACCAUAACUCUGUUUUCAUCCAUUCUAGUUGCAUUAGCCUCACAAUAAUUAUCAUCUGGUAACUUUAUUUUGUCAUGAGAUAUAGGUUAAAAUGUUGCACUUAGUAUAUUAUAUACUUAACCACGUGGAUCUUCGGAAAACCAUAACUUCAUAACCGUAGAUCCGAAAUCAGUGAUUAUCGAGCCCACGAUCUCAUAGCGACGCGUAUGUUAUUAAUAUGUAUUUUACAUAUAUGUUUGGUGUGAUGUUAAUUUUGCCUAUACCAUGUUUGUCUGUAUUGCUACGUUUAGCAGUGAGGACACGAGUCAUCUGAAGAGCAAGUUGGUACCUGGAAUCUCAAGUCCCAGGCAAGUUGUGCCCUUGAUCACUUCUUUUUACCCACUCAUGUUCUAAUUAAUCAUAAUGAUCUGCAUAGGUUAAUUUUGAUGGGACCUAAUAGGUUACCCUAGUUUGACUAUCUUUAUACCUUGUUCACCACUGAACUUUUUGGGUAGUACUUGCUAGUGCUAUAUGUGGAUGUGGGUAUAGAGAUACACAUUAUUCAUGAUUACACUUUUGUUAUCAGUUGUUAUUUACUGUUCAUGAUAAGAUCAUUAUGUUAAUUGGAACAUGGAGCGACCACCCGGGAAAACAGUGCUACCACAAGGGUUUAUGGACGCCCUUGGCUGAUUAAUUAGGAAAGCUAGUGGAGGACUACCUUACCUGAAAGGGGCAAGGGCAGUAGGGGAGUGGUCAGUGUAGGGAGGUCCUUGGGAUGGUUUUGCUGCGAUGGCGAUCAUGCGGGGGAUCCCUGCAUUGGAGCUUCCUAUAAACUGUAGCGGGUUUUCUAAAGCUAGUGGAGCUUUGUAAAGGCCUCGUAGUGUUACCCUGCCUCGCCUCCUCGGUAGAGGUGUAUGAGAAGUCGCGAUCCCUUGGCAGAUGGGUAACAUGACUUGCGGGUAAAAGAUGCGCAACCUCUGCAGAGUGUAAAACUGGUAUACUAGCCGUGCUCACGGUCAUGAGCAGCUCGGACCCUCACAUGAUUAAUUUAUGGAACUAAAUUCAAUUUGUCAUAUGCAUUGCAUUGCAGGUGAUGUUAUUACUUUUCUUAUUUGGGUUGAUAUUUACUUAUACUUAGUAAUUUCUAAUAAAAUUGUGACCAACAUUAAAAGCAAUGCUCAGCUCUAACCAUCCUCUUUGGUAAGCCUUACACUUCACGUGAGCUCCCACCUUUGGCGAGUUCAUGCACAUUAUUCCCCACAACUUGUUGAGCGAUGAACGUAUGUGAGCUCACUCUUGCUGUCUCACACCCCCCACAGGUCAAGAACAGGUACCCUAGGAUGAGGCGCAUGGAGGAUGCUGCGAUGUGUUCGUGAGAGGUCUAGGCCGUCGUCUCCCAGUCAACUUUGGGUUGCUGGACCGUUGUCUCCUUAUAAUGUAAUUAUUUAUUUAUUUUGUAUAGAACUCCUACUAUAUAGUAAAGUUGUGACAUUUGAUCAUGUGCCAUGAUUCAUCAUAUGUGUGAGACUUGGUCCCAGCACACCUAGUGAUUAUGUUCGCGCCCGGGUCUUGGUGCCCCGAAAUCCGGGUGUGACAGAAGUGGUAUCAGAGGAAUGUUGACUGUAGGAUGAAACCUAGAUAGAACUGGAUAAUCCUUAUCUACUUACCUUUACUACUCUGAUUCUUUCCAAAACUUUUCUUAAUCCUUUCUCAUCUAUUUCCGCUUUACUCUGAUUAUUCUUAUCUUUUCUUACUAAAAGACAAAUGUGGAUUUCACACUUUGAAAUCCUGUACCUAAAGUGACCUUUAGGAAUAGGAGACCUAAUCUUAGGAACAAAAGCAAAACUAUUUUUGUAGGUAUUGGUAUGCUUGAGUGUUUGUCCUUAUGAUACUUGUCUGAUUUGGAUCUUUGAUUGAGUGUGAUGAGUUGUGGAGUAAUGUCCACAAUUACAUCUACAUAUACAUAUAGGAAAAAAAUGCUUAUAAAAUAACUAGAUAAACUAGAUUAUCCCUCAUUAAAGUAUCUAGCCCAACAAUAUCCAUCUCAUCUUAAAAGCUUCUAUCCUACACUCAUAGAUCCAUCUUAUCUUAAAAGAUACUCUAUCUUGAAAAGAUUUUAUCUCAUCCUAAUAGAUCUAACUGACCUUAAAAAGAUUCUAUCUUAUCCUUAUGGAUUCAUCUUGCCCCAAUAAGCAUAUUUAUCCCGCACUAGUGUAACAACCAUGAUCUAAUCCAAUGUAAUUAGAUAUUAUCUAGUCUAAUGAAACCGAUCUAAUCUAGAUUCCAUCUAAUCUAAUAUGAUCCUCAAGUGAGUUAUUUAAUAGAUUAUUUAGUACUAGUGAAAUAGAUUAGACCUCAUUCCUAUAAAAAUGUUUUAAGCUAAAUUGGUGCCCUAAAUUGACUUGACCAAUACACAACUACCUGAUCAUAUGCAACUACCUUAACCAUGAUCAUAUGCAACUACCUUAACCAUCCGAUAGUUGCAUAAACCCUCCGUUUUAACCUAACAGAGAUUUUAACAUAUCUUGAUAAUAUAUCCUACCCUGGUAGAUCUAUCUAACUUAGAUGAGUCUAAUCUAGUUACAUUCAACCUAAUCUAGAUUCUAUCUAAUCUAGUGUGAUCUAAUCUGAUGUGGUCCACUUAAACAUAUUGGUGAUACAGGUAGAAGAGAUUAGACCCUACUAGCCAGGCGUUAACUUAGCACAUUAGACCAGUCACAAUGGAUUGCAUAAUCCGUCUAUCACCACCUAACAUCAAACAAGUUUUUGAUCUACAUCAUGUAGUCUACCUCAUCCGUAUCUAUCUUAACCACAUUCUCCAACCCGAUGAUAUGCACUCACCGCGAAUCAACGAGCUCAAGACCGGAGAAGAAAAGAUCAACCUCGGAGAGAAGUCAAACUCAACCUUCAGAUGCAUUACCACCCAGCACGGAGUUCUUCCUCACCAUAAACUUUCUUACCUCUAGCUAUUCUUGCCCUAACCUACCUAUCUUUUAUCCUACAUGAUAAAAUGGCUAUACAUAUAGAUACCCAUGCUCUCCUAAUCACUUACUAAUGAAAAAAAGAGAGAGACUCUUGAUUUUUGAACUAAUUAGAAACUAACAGCUAAAUAGCAAACCAUUCUCCUUAUAUCCCUUUUCUUACAAAUCUCGAGGACGAGAUUUCUGUUAAGGGGGGUAGGAUUUGUGGAGCCCAAAAUUUGUAUAAGAAAAAAAACAAGAUAAAUAAAUAGAAAUAUUAUCAUGUAGGGUUUUAGGAUUAUGGAACCUUUGGAGAUCAUUCGAUUUUCUUUAUGUGUGCAUAUUUAAUUAAUGGAAAUAACAAAUAAAUUUAGAAAUAUAUAUAAAUGCACAUAUGUCUAAACCUGAGAUCUAAAUAAUAUUAUUUUCUCGUAAAAGUAAUUACUAGAAGGUAUUUCCUCAUAAAAUAGAAUAAGAAAUAAAUAAUGAAGCUUUGGAAUGAACCUCUAAUGGACCAAACAUUGGAAAUAUUUUCGUAAAAUGAAUAAACUUAAUACAUGAACCCUACAUUCAUGUUGAAAUAUAUUUUUGGUGUGCAAAUUAGAACUUUGUUUGAAUUUAAAAUCUAAUUGGAACCUGAAAAGCAAACAAAAAAA